AUCUACGGCCAUGCCACCCUGAACAAGCCUGACCCCGUCUGAUCUCAGAAGCUAAGCAGGGUCGGGCCUGGUUAGUACUUGGACGGGAGACCACCUAGGAAGACCAGGUGCUGUAGUCA
rnacentral:rRNA from 1 species